UACGAAGGGUGCAAGCGUUAAUCGGAAUUACUGGGCGUAAAGGGUGCGUAGGCGGUUCGUUAAGUCUGUCGUGAAAUCCCCGGGCUCAACCUGGGAAUGGCGAUGGAUACUGGCGAGCUAGAGUGUGUCAGAGGAUGGUGGAAUUCCCGGUGUAGCGGUGAAAUGCGUAGAGAUCCGGAAGAACACCGGUGGCGAAGGCGGCCAUCUGGGACAACACUGACGCUGAAGCACGAAAGCGUGGGGAGCAAACAGG
rnacentral:rRNA from 1 species